rnacentral:rRNA from 1 species
CCUACGGGUGGCUGCAGUGGGGAAUAUUGGACAAUGGGGGGAACCCUGAUCCAGCCAUGCCGCGUGUGUGAAGAAGGCCCUCGGGUUGUAAAGCACUUUCAGUGAGGAAGAACGCCUGGUGGUUAAUACCCAUCAGGAAAGACAUCACUCACAGAAGAAGCACCGGCUAACUCCGUGCCAGCAGCCGCGGUAAUACGGAGGGUGCGAGCGUUAAUCGGAAUUACUGGGCGUAAAGCGCGCGUAGGUGGCUUGAUAAGCCGGUUGUGAAAGCCCCGGGCUCAACCUGGGAACGGCAUCCGGGCGUGUCUAGCAAGGGGGCAGGGGGGGAGGGUAGACAUCCCGGGGGAGCCGCCAAAGGAGUAGAGAUCGGGAGGAAGGGCAGGGGCGAAGGCGGACAACUGGAGGGACCAUGACACUGAAGUGACAUCGCGUGAGUAGCAAGCCGGGCGAGGGACACCGGUGCGC